GCUGGGUGUGGUGGUGUGCUCCUGUAAUCCCAGCCACUCGGGAGGCUGAGGCAGGAGAAUCGCUUGAACCUGGGAGGUGCAGGUUGCAGUGAGCUGAUAUUGUACCACUGCACUGCAGCCCAGGUGACAGAGCAAGAUUCUGCCUCAA
ensembl:misc_RNA Metazoa_SRP Metazoan signal recognition particle RNA